rnacentral:ncRNA from 1 species
AUACUCCCUAGUGACCGAUAGUGAACCAGUACCGUGAGGGAAAGGUGAAAAGCACCCCGGAAGGGGAGUGAAAUAGACCCUGAAACCGUGUGCCUACAAAUAGUCAGAGCCCGUUAAUGGGUGAUGGCGUGCCUUUUGUAGAAUGAACCGGCGAGUUACGAUUACAUGCAAGGUUAAGUCGAGGAGACGGAGCCGCAGCGAAAGCGAGUCUGAAUAGGGCGAAUGAGUAUGUGGUCGUAGACCCGAAACCAGGUGAUCUACCCAUGUCCAGGAUGAAGGUAAGGUAACACUUACUGGAGGUCCGAACCCACGCACGUUGAAAAGUGCGGGGAUGAGGUGUGGGUAGCGGAGAAAUUCCAAUCGAACCUGGAGAUAGCUGGUUCUCUCCGAAAUAGCUUUAGGGCUAGCCUCAAACGCGAGAAUCUUGGAGGUAGAGCACUGUUUGGACUAGGGGCCCAUCCCGGGUUACCGAAUUCAGACAAACUCCGAAUGCCAAUGAUUUAUGUUUGGGAGUCAGACUGCGAGUGAUAAGAUCCGUAGUCAAGAGGGAAACAGCCCAGACCACCAGCUAAGGUCCCCAAGUAUUUGUUAAGUGGAAAAGGAUGUGGCGUUGCUUAGACAACCAGGAUGUUGGCUUAGAAGCAGCCAUCAUUUAAAGAGUGCGUAAUAGCUCACUGGUCGAGUGACGCUGCGCCGAAAAUGUAUCGGGGCUAAACAAAUCACCGAAGCUGUGGAUUGAUACCUAUGGUAUCAGUGGUAGGAGAGCGUUCUAAGGGCGUUGAAGUCAGACCGGAAGGACUGGUGGAGCGCUUAGAAGUGAGAAUGCCGGUAUGAGUAGCGAAAGAUGGGUGAGAAUCCCAUCCACCGUAUGACUAAGGUUUCCUGAGGAAGGCUCGUCCGCUCAGGGUUAGUCGGGACCUAAGUCGAGGCCGAUAGGCGUAGACGAUGGACAACAGGUUGAUAUUCCUGUACCACCACCCCGCCGUUUGAGUGAUGGGGGGACGCAGUAGGAUAGGGUAAGCGUGCUGUUGGUUAUGCACGUCCAAGCAGUGAGGUGUGAGUGUAGGCAAAUCCGCACUCUGUAACAUUGAGCUGUGAUGGCGAGGACGAAUGUCCGGAGUUCCUGAUUUCACACUGCCAAGAAAAGCCUCUAACGAGGCGGGAGGUGCCCGUACCGCAAACCGACACAGGUAGUCGAGGAGAGAAUCCUAAGGUGAGCGAGAGAACUCUCGUUAAGGAACUCGGCAAAAUGACCCCGUAACUUCGGGAGAAGGGGUGCU